ACAAACCCAGUUAAUAGCAUAUUAAUCGGUGCAAUCUUUAUCCUCAAAAUCAAUAUAAAAACACGAUAAAAAGGACGAAAUAGGUAUGAAUACGUUUUUUAAUGGUGAAUAAUUUACUAUUAGAUAAAGGUAUUAAAACAAUUUUGUGACGCUUGAGAUUAAAAUGAAUGAUAAAAGUGAUUAAUUUGAAUAAUAAACGGAAAUUUUUAAUUAUUGACAACUCUAAAGUCAAAUUGUUUAUAGGAGAAAAAUUAAAAUUUUAUUAUGUUAAAUUAAACUUCAAAGACGUCAUACAAAAUGCCAAUCAAACAUUAUUUUCUUAAAACUUCAAUAAAAAUUUAAAUAAACACAACUUAUUUUAUAAUAUGUAAAUAAAGCAAUAUUCAAAUACAGCUUGUCAUAAUUA